rnacentral:rRNA from 1 species
AGUGAACGCCGGCGGUAGGCCUAACACAUGCAAGUCGAACGGCAGCACAGUAAGAGCUUGCUCUUACGGGUGGCGAGUGGCGGACGGGUGAGGAAUACAUCGGAAUCUACUUUUUCGUGGGGGAUAACGUAGGGAAACUUACGCUAAUACCGCAUACGACCUACGGGUGAAAGCAGGGGAUCUUCGGACCUUGCGCGAUUGAAUGAGCCGAUGUCGGAUUAGCUAGUUGGCGGGGUAAAGGCCCACCAAGGCGACGAUCCGUAGCUGGUCUGAGAGGAUGAUCAGCCACACUGGAACUGAGACACGGUCCAGACUCCUACGGGAGGCAGCAGUGGGGGAUAUUGGACAAUGGGCGCAAGCCUGAUCCAGCCAUACCGCGUGGGUGAAGAAGGCCUUCGGGUUGUAAAGCCCUUUUGUUGGGAAAGAAAAGCAGCAGGUUAAUACCCCGCUGUUCUGACGGUACCCAAAGAAUAAGCACCGGCUAACUUCGUG